UCUGUAUUUGACAAAUAUUAUUUAAUUAUAGACUAACUAGACUCAAAAGAUUCGUCUCGUCAAUUCCGACCAAACUGUGCAAUUAAUUUUUAUUUUUAUCUAUAUUUAAUACUCAAUGCAUACGUCUAAAGAUUCGAUGUGACGAGGAAUCUGAAAAGUUUUGCAAAAUUUUUGGAGAAGUAAACAAGGCCUAAACAAGAUCACAAGCAAGAUGUCAAGUAUGUCCACUACGACGGCGGAGUUGUCAGCAAAGGGCUUCCAAACCAGUGAUAGAACACAUUGUCAAAAAAGAAAAAAACAGUGGUAGAACAUGAGGCCAUUGCCUCUCGACCUCAAUGCAUGGACGAAAAGCUCCAUUGCGGUAACUUGAGGAUGCCAUUGUAGUAAAUUGAAUAAGCCACUAUGGUAGCUCGUGGUAAAUAGCAAUGUUGUAUUUCUUCGUAGAUUUUAGUAAAUUAAAUAUGCCAUUGCGGUAACUCGCUUGUAAUGUAUCAUAUCAUAUAUUGUCGUAUUCCUUUAGAGCUAAUUUUUUUCAUCAUCCUUUAGAGGUAUUUUAGUAAACUAGUAUAUUGCCCGUGCUAACGCUACGAUGACAUUUAGAAAAAAAUUACAAAACUAAAAUAAAUCAAAAAACUAAAAAACAAACCUACCCUACUAACAAAAAGGUCUAUAUGAAAAUUAUGGUACUUUAUUUGGGAAUAUAUAUUUGGUUUUAACAGAUGCUAUGUAGAAAAGUUGAGAAACACAGCUGAUCUACAAAUGCCCAUCAUUUGUCUUGUAACAUUGGUAACAAGUCCAUAAAAAAUGAGAUACUUAAUUGUAGUUAGUGUAGGCGUAUGUCUGCCUUACUGGACAAACAACCAAGAAAAACAAAAUUGUAGAGAUCGAUUAAAGGAAUAAUAAAACAAAAAAUGUCUGACAAAAUCAGGCACCUAUCUUCAGUCUAUCACACAAUGCCAAGAAGACAAGCAAACACUAAAUUAUACACAAGGCUAAAGGGAAAUUAAAAUACUCUUGUUCAGAAGUUUCAGAUGGUCUUGAUCAUUGUACAAAGCUGCUCCAGAUAAGAGAACAUACAAAUAGAAUUUAUUUAUUCACCCAUCACGAAUUAAGGGUGCAUAUAAAGUUGGCAUUCUAUUGUGUAACAUUAUAUUCUCUCUACUUUUGGCUGGUGCUCAUGCUGGUAGGAUUAUCUGUCAAGUUCAUCAAAGUUCUAAGAAAUUUUCAAUACUGAACCAGGAGCAAAACCACAAAUUAAGGCAUGAAUAUUGAAGACUAAAUUAGCACCAACUUUUGUAAUUCAUGAACACAUUUACCAUAUCAAACUUAGCAAUCACCAAAUAGAAUAUUUUACUAUAAGCAAUUUGUAUAAUUGUAUUGCACAAAUACUCAAACUGAGACCAUUCCAAGUCUUGAAAAAUUGAUCUGACAAUCUGGUGAAAUAGAAAAAAGCCAAUGAGCCCCAUCUAUUCUCACAUCAAACUGGUUCUAUUAUUCA
rnacentral:lncRNA from 1 species